rnacentral:rRNA from 1 species
AGUCACUGACAUUAGAUACCCCGGUAGUCCCAGCCGUAAACAAUGUGCGUUAGGUGUGUCGGUAACCACGCGUUACUGAUGCGCCGAAGAGAAAUCGUGAAACGCACCACCUGGGAAGUACGGUCGCAAGGCUGAAACUUAAAGGAAUUGGCGGGGGAGCGCCACAACAGGUGGAGCCUGCGGUUUAAUUGGAUUCAACGCCGGACAUCUCACCGGAUAAGACAGCUGAAUGAUUGUCAAUCUGAAGGUUUUACAUGACUAGCUG